GAUGAACGCUGGCGGCGUGCCUAAUACAUGCAAGUCGAGCGAACAGACGAGGAGCUUGCUCCUCUGACGUUAGCGGCGGACGGGUGAGUAACACGUGGAUAACCUACCUAUAAGACUGGGAUAACUUCGGGAAACCGGAGCUAAUACUAGAUAAUAUAUUCAACCGCAGGGAUCAAUAGUGAAAGACGGUUUUGCUGUCACUUAUAGAUGGAUCCGCGCCGCAUUAGCUAGUUGGUAAGGUAACGGCUUACCAAGGCAACGAUGCGUAGCCGACCUGAGAGGGUGAUCGGCCACACUGGAACUGAGACACGGUCCAGACUCCUACGGGAGGCAGCAGUAGGGAAUAUUCCGCAAUGGGCGCAAGCCUGAUGGAGCAACGCCGCGUGAGUGAUGAAGGUCUUCGGAUCGUAAAACUCUGUUGUUAGGGAAGAAAAAAUGUGUAAGUAACUAUGCACGUCUUGACGGUACCUAAAGAGAAAGCCACGGCUAACUACGUG
rnacentral:rRNA from 1 species